rnacentral:rRNA from 1 species
GACGAACGCUGGCGGCGUGCUUAACACAUGCAAGUCGAACGGUAAGGCCCUUCGGGUACACGAGUGGCGAACGGGUGAGUAACACGUGGGUGAUCUGCCCUGCACUUUGGGAUAAGCCUGGGAAACUGGGGCUAAUACCGAAUAGGACUCCGGACUUCACGGUCUGGGGUGGAAAGCUUUGCGGUGUGGGAUGGGCCCGCGGCCUAUCAGCUUGUUGGUGGGGUAAUGGCCUACCAAGGCGACGACGGGUAGCCGGCCUGAGAGGGUGUCCGGCCACACUGGGACUGAGAUACGGCCCAGACUCCUACGGGAGGCAGCAGUGGGAAUAUUGCACAAUGGGCGCAAGCCUGAUGCAGCGACGCCGCGU